AUUGAACGCUGGCGGCGUGCCUAAUACAUGCAAGUCGAGCGAAUGACGAGAAGCUUGCUUCUCUGAUUUAGCGGCGGACGGGUGAGCAACACGUGGGCAACCUGCCCUGUAGACUGGGAUAACUUCGGGAAACCGGAGCUAAUACCGGAUAAUUCUUUUAGCCUCAUGGCUUUAAGCUAAAAGGCGCUUCGGCGUCACUACAGGAUGGGCCCGCGGUGCAUUAGCUAGUUGGUGGGGUAACGGCCUACCAAGGCAACGAUGCAUAGCCGACCUGAGAGGGUGAUCGGCCACAGUGGGACGGAGACACGGCCCAAACUCCUACGGGAGGCAGCAGUAGGGAAUCUUCCACAAUGGACGAAAGUCUGAUGGAGCAACGCCGCGUGAGUGAUGAAGGUUUUCGGAUCGUAAAACUCUGUUGUAAGGGAAGAACAAGUGCGUUAGGUAAUGAACGCACCUUGACGGUACCUUAUUAGAAAGCCACGGCUAACUACGUGCCAGCCGCCGCCGUAA
rnacentral:rRNA from 1 species